CUCUUUUUGUCCGAUUCUGUGUUGUCUUUUCAGUUUUUUUCAGCAGCUCAGAAGCAACAUCAGCACGAGAAGAUCAGAAGUUCAUCGACAGGAUGACAAUGACACUUCAAACUAAGAGAUGAGAAAGGAAAUGCAAAUAAUUAAUGCCGUUUUGACAUCCGUUAAUGUGACAGGACAGAUCGCUGCAUAAAAGCCUUGGAGAGCCGCUACUGGGAUGCUUGGUGUAUAAACCCAACACAAGCACUGACCCCAGUGCUGCGAUCAGCUCCGGUGUCUGAGUCGUGAGUGGAGCUCGAGUGAACGUGAUCAUUUCACUUCCUCUCUACUACUAGUUUGAAUGCAAAUAAACCUGUCUGAACAUCU